CAAGUCGAGGGGCAGCAGGACUGUAGCAAUACAGUUGCUGGCGACCGGCAAACGGGUGCGGAACACGUACGCAACUUACCCAAAACUGGUGAAUAACCCGGGGAAACUCGGACUAAUACACCGUAACAUAAUCGAGUGGCAUCAUUUGAUUAUUAUAGCUCCGGCGGUUUUGGAUGGGCGUGCGCCUGAUUAGGUAGUUGGCGGGGUAACGGCCCACCAAGCCUGCGAUCAGUAACUGGUGUGAGAGCACGACCAGUCACACGGGCACUGAGACACGGGCCCGACUCCUACGGGAGGCAGCAGUAAGGAAUAUUGGUCAAUGGACGCAAGUCUGAACCAGCCAUGCCGCGUGAAGGAUGAAGGUCCUCUGGAUUGUAAACUUCUUUUAUAUGGGAAGAAAUCCAUCUUUUCUUGGGUGGUUGACGGUACCAUAGGAAUAAGCACCGGCUAACUCCGUGCCAGCAGCCGCGGUAAUACGGAGGGUGCAAGCGUUAUCCGGAUUCACUGGGUUUAAAGGGUGCGUAGGAGGACAGGUAAGUCAGUGGUGAAAUCUCCAAGCUUAACUUGGAAACUGCCGUUGAUACUAUCUGUCUUGAAUACCGUGGAGGUGAGCGGAAUAUGUCAUGUAGCGGUGAAAUGCUUAGAUAUGACAUAGAACACCAAUUGCGAAGGCAGCUCGCUACACGAAUAUUGACUCUGAGGCACGAAAGCGUGGGGAUCAAACAGGAUUAGAUACCCUGGUAGUCCACGCCCUAAACGAUGGAUACUCGACAUACGCGAUACACAGUGUGUGUCUGAGUGAAAGCAUUAAGUAUCCCACCUGGGAAGUACGACCGCAAGGUUGAAACUCAAAAGAAAUUGGCGGGGGUCCGCACAAGC
rnacentral:rRNA from 1 species